UACGUAGGGGCCGAGCGUUGUCCGGAGUUAUUGGGCGUAAAGCGCGCGCAGGCGGCCUCGCGCGCCCGACGUGAAAGCCCCCGGCUUAACCGGGGAGGGUCGUUGGGGACGGCGGGGCUUGAGGGCGGGAGAGGUCGGUGGAAUUCCCGGUGUAGUGGUGAAAUGCGUAGAGAUGUGGAGGAACACCGAUGGCGAAGGCAGCCUCCUGGGCCAGCACUGACGCUCAUGCACGAAAGCGUGGGGAGCAAACAGG
rnacentral:rRNA from 1 species